UGGGGAAUAUUGCGCAAUGGGCGAAAGCCUGACGCAGCGACGCCGCGUGAGGGAUGAAGGUCUUCGGAUCGUAAACCUCUGUCAGCAGGGAAGAAAGUUAUGCGUGCUAAUCAGCGCGUAAUUGACGGUACCUGCAAAGGAAGCACCGGCUAACUCCGUGCCAGCAGCCGCGGUAAUACGUAUGGUGCAAGCGUUAUCCGGAUUUACUGGGUGUAAAGGGAGCGCAGGCGGUACGGCAAGUCUGAUGUGAAAGCCCGGGGCUCAACCCCGGUACUGCAUUGGAAACUGUCGGACUAGAGUGUCGGAGGGGUAAGCGGAAUUCCUAGUGUAGCGGUGAAAUGCGUAGAUAUUAGGAGGAACACCAGUGGCGAAGGCGGCUUACUGGACGAUUACUGACGCUGAGGCUCGAAAGCGUGGGGGAGCAAACAGGAUUAGAUACC
rnacentral:rRNA from 1 species